rnacentral:lncRNA from 1 species
CGGUUUCCAAAUGGGGACAGGUAAUAGCUGAUUUCGCUGUUUGGUGGGCUCUGGAAUUGCUGUACUCAAGGAAAGGCAAAAGCUGAGAAAGCCACAGAGUGGACACGUGGGCCUGGAAUCUGACAAGAGAAGUUUUACUUUCAAAUCACCCACUGGAAAGCCAGCCCAAGAGACUGUAGAUUUAAAGCCAGAUCCUCCUAGUAGGUAGCCUUUAACCACGUUCCCAAAUGUGUUAUUGGUCUAAUGCUACCUAAAGUCAGGGCGAUGGUUUUCACCUCUUGGGGAAUAGUGAAUUAAGAGCUUGCUCUUAAAGCAGAGGACAUUAAAACAGAAACACUCAGUUCUAAGCUGCAUGAAGUAGUCUACCUGAGCUAUGAACGACCUACAAACACUUUGGAAGGGAACUCUAAGCAAAGACCUUAUCCACUGCUUAUAACGUUAUAAAACUUGACACCAUCAAAUAA